rnacentral:lncRNA from 1 species
AACUCCUUUAAAUUUAAUUCAGCUGAAGAUUUUUUUUUUAAUACCAAGAAGUUCAAGAAAGCACCCUAUGAAAUUAACAAUCUUCUUAAUCCAUAGAACGUGAAGAAGUCAGGGUAAUGGGUGCCAAUGAAAAACAAUUAUGUACUAUUUUGUAACUCUCCUCCUUCCCCAUUUCAGCCAAAGAUGGGGUCAGAUAGCCUCUUGCCAUUUGGAAAGAAGAUGAGCAAAAAUGUAGAAAAAGCAAACGCAACUCCUAUCCCCAACAUUGUCAGCACCAUUGCUGUAAACUGACAAAGAGAUGUGUCCCUAAAUGUAUUUUUUAUUCUGUGUUCAAAGAUCACCAAUGAGAUUCCCAGUUGCCAAAUCCAAUCUUUAGUUUUCAUCUUAGUUCCUCUGAGCAACAUCUGAAAAAGGUGUCAUUAUAAGAGAGAGUCAGAGGAAGACUUCACUACAAUAAAUAAAUAAAUAAGAUGUGAUGCUGGAACCAAAGGUUGAUAUGACAUGCUUUGAAGGUAGUGGAAGAACACCUGGGCCAAGAAAUGCAGGUGGUCUUUUGAGGCUGGAAAGACAAGGAAAUAGAUUCUUCCCUGAACUCUCCAGAAGGAAUGCAAACCUACCAACGUCAUAAUUUUUGACUUACAAACCCCGGAAAUGAAAAAGAAUCAAUUUAUGUUGUUUGGAGUAAGCUAUGUGAUAGGCAACCUUGAAAUGGCCCCAGAUAAUCCCUGCCUCCAGACUAACAAAAUGAUAUUUGUGUCCAGAACCAGUUAAAGAGCUGUGGCAGUUCUAAGAACUUCCACCAAGAUAAAGCAUAUUCUGAAAGCUGGUUGCCAGAGAAACCAAUCAGCGAUAAAAGAAUUGGGACUUUCAGCUUCACCUUCUCUACCUCUGGGGAGGAAAGAAAGGGCAGAUAUUGAGCUCAAUCUCCAGUGGCUACUGGUUUAAUCAAUAAUGCUUACAUACUGAAGCUUCCUUAAAAACCCUAAAUGAAGGAGUUCAGAAAACCCCAGGUUCACCACAAUGAUGAAGACAUUCAUGUGCCUAGAGAGUAGCCCACCCUAACUCAGUGGGGCAGAAACUCCUGUGGUCAGAACCCUUCUG